GCAGGCUGCAACUCGCCUGCAUGAAGUCGGAAUUGCUAGUAAUCGCGGAUCAGCAUGCCGCGGUGAAUACGUUCUCGGGCCUUGUACACACCGCCCGUCACACCAUGGGAGGCGGUAACACCCGAAGUCUGUAGCCUGACGCAAGAGGGCGCAGCCGAAGGUGGGAUUGAUGACUGGGGUGAAGUCGUAACAAGGUAGC
rnacentral:rRNA from 1 species